AUGGGCUGAGAUACACAGUUUUGAUGCAAGUACAGCAAUACUGUCAUAGAUGCCCAAAGAAAAAAAAUACCUUCUGAUGACUAUGCUUAUCACAGUCCCAGAGCAUGGACAGAUACGAGGUAAACAAAG